rnacentral:SRP_RNA from 1 species
GUUGGGUUGACCCAGAUGGUUGGGUUCGGUAGGCUUAUAGUCUGGCCUGCCCUCUCCAAGCAUGGAGUUGGAUCACGUGGCUUAGUCGAAAGACCUGGGUUGCUUGAUUCCUAAAGUGGGGUGGACUGCGUGAGGCUGGUUUCACAGAGCAACGAACAGCUUCCGCUCUGUGCAGUGGAAGGAUAACGGGUCAGUGCUCAGCGAGUCCAGUUAACGCCCUGAUGGGCUGCUCCAACUAAA